UGGAGAAGGGGAGCACGUGCA
rnacentral:miRNA from 4 species